UCCAACCCAGAGAAGAAGCCAAUAGAGGGUGAGAGAGACCCGACUCGAAGGCGGACAAGAAGAACGCCGACCCCCGCCUCUCUCAGAUGGUGGCGAACAGGGCUGGAGAUGGAUCGCGCGGCUCUGUGCAUUCAUUCCGUCCUCUCGACGGCGAUGCGCUUCGUCUCAUAUGCCCUGAUGCGAAUUCUUUGGCUACUUAAAGAUUGUAUCCCUUCGGAGAUAAUGGUUGUCUUUAGGUCUUGCCUUCUGUAAUCGCUGCUUCGAUCGCGCUUGUUGGGUGAUUCACCAUCGAUCCAAGAAGUCAUCCUGGGAGGAAUAGCAAUUGCAAGAAAGAUAUGGAGGAACAACCUCACCGCCACCAAAAGAAGAAAAGAAAUUGGCAUCAUCGUCGCCUCUCUCUUCUAAUUCUUCUUCAUGUUGUAGGAAUCGAGGACGACAUCCAAGGAGCGUUGGGAAAUCAGUCACCCAAGAAAAGUCGAGGCCAGUUUGCCAGACCUUGCGGGCAUCAUCGUCGAGACUACAUCCAAGGUUGAUGAUCCGCAAACGCGUACACAUUACGCGACUGAUAUCUAUGAGUACCUCAGAUCAUUGGAGGUUGGUCUUCCACAAGAGGAUUCUUGAAACUGAACGAGAAAGCAAUCCGAUGGAAGACUACCAGAAUACAAUACAAGCAGCCUCAGUUUACAUCGCUUGUUUCUUGCAAACUAGCCAGAUGGCAGUCAGUUGGGUUUGGCAUAUCUGAAGAAAUACCUAAGGUUAGUCUCGAGAAGGCAUCGCAUCAUAAACUAUCUAUUUGCGUUGUGAGCGAAUAGAACUUAAAGAGUAGCAAUUGUUCGAUCGAAGUUAAUCUUGAUCUCGAUAGUUACUUCGAGAAAGUUGGUUUCUAUCAGGUUGUUACGUUUUACUAUUUUGUGAAACCAUUUCCAAAUGGAUCUAAUCAGUAAUUCUUUAAUAACCGUAUUGGGGGAUUGAAGAUGCCUGCAGGGGGAGCCCACACUGAAGCUGACGUGGCUCCAUCGUGGGAGAACCAGCAUCGGAAAGCUUUCUGACACGGACCGGUCAAGAAGAUGCCAAAGAAGUACGCAGAGCAGAAAAACCCUGGGAUGAAACACAUGUGCCAUAUAGCUCAUGAUGUUUACCGGAAGGACGAAGUGUUGAACAUGGAGAUCAGCAUUCUAAGACAUAUGAGAUUUGAUAUGGGCAGUCCCACGGUCAAGACAUUUCUAGGAUGCCCUUUCUCGAGUCCUUCUAGUGUCAUGAGAUUUUGCGCAGCGUUAAGCGUCUGGUGAAUUCUCUUCUCUUAUAAGUUUGAUCGCUAAUUAAAUUUGCUAUAUUGUGGUUAUAGGAGAUUCACACAGGCUGGUAGAGACGAUGGCAAAUACUUGUAUGCGAACUUAGAAUUCCUGGCAAGCUACCUUGGUGAGUUGACUCUAAUGGACUAUGGCUGUGUUUGGUUCUUGCCAUCGGUAGUUGCAGCUUCUGCUGUUUUCGUUGCUAGAUUCACGCUCGAUCCGAGAAGUCAUCCCUGGAGCCAAAACUUGAAACCGUGCACUCGUUAUAUGAUGUGAUUGAUCUCAAGUUUCCAUGUCAUGAUUUGCAUUUUAACGAGGAAACAUCCCACUAUAUGGGCAACAGAUACAGAUACUGUCUCGACGAAGUUUUAUCUUUCAUACAGAACUACAUCUAUAUAUGUUGACAAGUUAUUCUAACCUUAUCUUUGUUCGCCA